UACGAAGGGGGCUAGCGUUGCUCGGAAUCAUUGGGCGUAAAGCGCACGUAGGCGGUUUUCUAAGUCAGGGGUGAAAUCCUGGAGCUCAACUCCAGAACUGCCUUUGAUACUGGGAAUCUCGAGUCCGGCAGAGGUGAGUGGAACUGCGAGUGUAGAGGUGAAAUUCGUAGAUAUUCGCAAGAACACCAGUGGCGAAGGCGGCUCACUGGCCCGGUACUGACGCUGAGGUGCGAAAGCGUGGGGAGCAAACAGG
rnacentral:rRNA from 1 species